rnacentral:rRNA from 1 species
CGAAGGGGGCUAGCGUUGUUCGGAUUUACUGGGCGUAAAGCGCACGUAGGCUGAUCGUUAAGUCAGGGGUGAAAUCCUGGAGCUCAACUCCAGAACUGCCUUUGAUACUGGCGAUCUUGAGUCCGGAAGAGGUGAGUGGAACUCCUAGUGUAGAGGUGGAAUUCGUAGAUAUUAGGAAGAACACCAGUGGCGAAGGCGGCUCACUGGUCCGGUACUGACGCUGAGGUGCGAAAGCGUGGGGAGCAAACAGG